UACCUAGAAUGUUAGAAGCUUAAUGAAUGAGGAGUCAAGUGGCAGGAACAAGCCUCGGACUAUAGCUGGUGCGAACAGAGUGGCAGAGGAGUGGACAAAGGAAGGAGAAAGAGACACAGAGGAGACACUGAGGCACUAAACAAGGGGCAGCAGACACACCAGAAGAGGGAAUUGGAUCUCAUUACAGAUGGUUGUGAGCCACCAUGUGGUUGCUGGGAAUUGAACUCAGGACCUCCGGAAGAGCAGCCAGCGCCCUUAACCGCUGAGCCGUCUCUCCAGCCCAGAAACACUGACAGCACAUUCAGCUCGUAUUUCCGGACCAGACCGUGGCGAUUAGAGGAAGAACCCUGGCCGAAUUUCUAUCCAUGACUUCAGUAGAACUGCUGGUGGCCUAUCCUGCCUUCAGACUGCCAAGGGGGGAAUUGGAGAGAGCUGGAGCACGCAUGCGCUCUUCCCAAGGCAGAGAGUGCUUAAAUACUGACGAUAAAGGAACAAAAGCAGAAGCACAAAGGAUGAGAAAGAACACCGAAGACAUAGUCGUCGUUUAAAGUUAAAGAAUUAGGGGCCAGCGAGAUGGCCCAACGGACAAGGUUGUUUGCCACUAAACCUGAGUUCCUGUCUUCAGACCCUGAAUCACAUCCCAGGUGUGAAAGGAGAGAACCAAUCAACUCCUACAAAUUGUCUUCGACCUCCACACUCCUGCCACCGGGAUGUGCGUACUCACAUGUGCGCUAAAUAAAUAAAUGCAGGCAUGACAGUUCCAGAAGAAA